UUGGAGGGCAAGUCUGGUGCCAGCAGCCGCGGUAAUUCCAGCUCCAAUAGCGUAUAUUAAAGUUGUUGCAGUUAAAAAGCUCGUAGUUGAAUUUCGGGAUUGGCGCGUCGGUCGUGCCUCACGGGGUAUGAACUGGUGCAGUCAAUUUCUCACCUUCUGGAGAACCGCGAUGUCCUUAAUUGGAUGCCGCGGGGAACCAGGACCUUUACUUUGAAAAAAUUAGAGUGUUUAAAGCAGGCAUUUUUGCUUGAAUACAUUAGCAUGGAAUAAUAAAAUAGGACGGCAUGGUUCUAUUUUGUUGGUUUCUAGGACCACUGUAAUGAUUAAUAGGGAUGGUUGGGGGCAUUAGUAUUCAAUUGUCAGAGGUGAAAUUCUUGGAUUUAUUGAAGACUAACUACUGCGAAAGCAUUUGCCAAGGAUGUUUUCAUUAAUCAAGAACGAAAGUUAGGGGAUCGAAGACGAUCAGAUACCGUCGUAGUCUUAACCAUAAACUAUGCCGACUAGGAAUCAGACGAUGUUAAUUUUUUAAUGACUCGUUUGGCACCUUACGGGAAACCAAAGUGUUUGGGUUC
rnacentral:rRNA from 1 species